rnacentral:rRNA from 1 species
AACGAACGCUGGCGGCAUGCCUAACACAUGCAAGUCGAACGAAACCUUCCGGUCUUUUUGCGCCUGGUUUCGUAACGCGUGGGAAGCUUCACUUAUGUUCGCCAUACCUCCCCGACAGGGGUUCUAAUACCACAUAAUCUCUUCUGACCAAGGAUUUAUCGCCUUUGGUUGGGCCCGCGUUGGAUUCGCUAGUUGGUAGGGUAAUAGCAUACUACGGCGUCGAUUCAUAGCUGGUCUGAGAGAAUGAUCAUCCACACUGGGACUGAGACACGGCCCAGAAUGCUACGGAAGGCAGGAGAGGGGAAUAUUGGAAAGGGGGGGAAAGCGUGAUAAAGCAAUGAGGGGUGAGUGAUGAAGGCAGUAGGGAAGUAAAGCUGUUUUAACCGGGAAGAUAAUGACGGUACCGGGAGAAUAAGCACCGGCUAACUCCGUG